UUAGAGAUUAUUUUUGGCUUCUA
rnacentral:siRNA from 1 species